GCGGCCGUAGUGUAAUGGCAACACAAAAGUUUUCCAAACUUUAUCACGGGUUCGAGUCCCGUCGGCCGCU
rnacentral:tRNA from 1 species